rnacentral:lncRNA from 1 species
AUCACGAGUAUAAUAUUUCAUAAUAAUUAUCAUAUCAUUUAAAUAACAUAAAAACAUUUAAAAUAAUAACUAUGUUACCAACAUUUACAUAUGAACUUACAUCGUAUGCGAAAAUGGCUACUUUUACCAUUUCGUCCACAACUUGGUAUUUUUCCAUUUUAGCCCGAAUUUCAGUUUUCCUUACUCUAUCAUUUAAAAUAUAGUCUAAUUAGGACUCACAUUAUUCAAAUUGACCCAAAAUCAUAUUUUGGAAAAAUUACAGUUUUUCCCCUAAACUUUUGCAUAUUUACACUUUUGCCCCAAAGCUCGUAAAUUAAACUUCAGCCUAUUUUAUUAUGUUUUAUGACAUGCUGAUCAUUUUUCCCUUCUAUGGAAACAUCAAAUUCUCACUCUAACAUGUACUUAUGACUAUUAGGUAUUUUUACCGAUUAAGCCCUUUUGCUCGUUUUCACUUAAAACCGAGUAGCACAAGUUGUCUAACAUAAUUUAAAACCUCAUAUUCUAUCAUAAAACACCAAAAAUACACAAAUUUCACCUAUGGGUAUUUUUCCAAAUAUAAAACCUAGGUUAAAUUAUUGCUAGAAUAAGCUAAAUCAAGUUACCGGGACUCCAAAAAUGUAAAAGUCAUUAAAAACGAGGCUAGAACGGACUUACAAUCAAGCUUGGAACCUUGAAAAACCCUAGCCAUGGUUUCUCCUUGCUAUAUUCGGCCAUGGGGUUGAAGAUGAGCAAAAUUGGCUUUUAAUUUUGUAUUUUAAUUCAUUUUACCCCUAAAUGACCAAAAUGCCCUUACUACUAAACUUUCCAAAAAUUCCAUCCAUGUCCAAUUUUUGUCCAUAGACUUAGAAAUUGGUAAAAUUGCUAUUUAAGACCUCCCAAUUAAUAUUUCAAAACAAUUUCAUACUAGAAACUUCUAGAAUGCAAGUUUUGCAAAUUAUUCGAUUUAGUCCCUAAUUUCAAUUUAAGCACUUUAUGCAUAAAAUUUCUUCACGAAAUUUUCACACAAUCAUGUAAUCAUACAUAGACCUUAAAAUAAUUAUAAAAUAAUUAUUUCUAUCUCGGAUUUUGUGGUCACGAAACCACUAUUCCGACUAGGCCCAAAAUCAGGAUAUUACAUAGCGAAAUGCGAUACUUGGUGUGAAUUGCAGAAUCCCGUGAACCAUCGAGUCUUUAAACGCAAGUUGUGCCCCAAGCCAUUAGGUCGAGGGCACGUCUGCCUGGGUGUCACACAUCGUCGCCCCCAUCCAACCCCGAUCCCUUGGGACUCGGUUGGACCGCGGUCGGAAAUUGGCCUCCCGUGCGCUCACAGCCAGCGGUUGGCCUAAAUUUGAGUCCUCGAUGACAUAAUCGUCGUGACGAUCAGUGGUAAUACUGUAAGCAACCUUGUUCGGAGUCAUGCGCAUUAGUCGAUCGAGACCCUUAAACCCUUUCGGCAUCGCAUCGCGACCCCAAGUCAGGCAGGAUUACCCGCUGAGUUUAAGCAUAUCAAUAAGCGGAGGAAAAGAAACUUACCAGAUUCCCCUAGUAACAGUGAGUGAACCGGGAAAAACCCAGCUUGCGAAUCGGGCACCACCGAAGUUCGAAUUGUAGUCUGGAGAAGCGUCAUCAGCGGCGGACCGGGCCCAAGUCCCCUAGAAAGGGGCGCAGGAGAGGGUGAGAGCCCCGUCAUGCCCGAACGCUGUCGCACCAGGAGGCGUUGUUUACGAGUCGGGUUGUUUGGGAAUGCAGCCCUAAUCGGGCGGUAAAUUUCAUCCAAGGCUAAACACGGGUGAGAGACCGAUAGCGAACAAGUACCGCGAGGGAAAGAUGAAAAGGACUUUGAAAAGAGAGUCAAAGAGUGCUUGAAAUUGUCGGGAGGGAAGCGGAUAGGGGCCAGUGAUGCACCCUGAUCGGAUGUUGAACGGCGAGAGUCGGUCUGCCGAUCAGCUCGGGGCGUAGACCGACGCAGGUCGUUACGACGGCCCAAGCCCGGGCCUUUGAUAUGCCUAUGGAAACAUCAUCGCCUCGAUCAUGGGAUCUAGCACGCGCCGUCUCGACAUGCUUCGGCACCUGCGUGCUCAGGGCGUCGGCCUGCGGGCUCUCCAUUUGGCCCGUCUUGAAACACGGACCAAGGAGUGUGACAUGUGUGUGAGUCAACGGGAUAGAAAACUCGUAAGGCGCAAGGAAGCUGAUUGGCGGGAUCCCUCGUGGGUGCACCACCGACCGACCUUGAUCUUCUGAGAAGGGUUCGAGUGAGAGCAUGCCUGUCGAGACUCGAAAGAUGGUGAACUAUGCCUGAGCGGGGCAAAGCCAGUGAAAACUCUGGUGGAGGCCCGUAGCGAUACUGACGUGCAAAUCGUUCGUCUGACUUGGGUAUAGGGGCGAAAGACUAAUCGAACCGUCUAGUAGCUGGUUCCCUCCGAAGUUUCCCUCAGGAUAGCAGGAGCCUUUAGCGAGUUCUAUCGGGUAAAGCCAAUGAUUAGAGGCAUCGGGGGCGCAACGCCCUUGACCUAUUCUCAAACUUUAAAUAGGUAGGACGGUGCGGCUGCUUCAUUUAGCCGC